CUCUGAUGUCCUCGGCACGGGUUUCGCCGGAGACUCCUUAAUCCGACAUCCUGUUCUGCCGCAUAGCUGCUCGCUGACACUCGGGGCACUCCGAGCUGCUGCCCUGACCAAAAAGCCUUUGUACACGCGAAAGGCCGUGUUGCAACGCAUGUUCCCUUCUCCACGCGGAACAGGGAAGUGGAAACAUCAGCUAAUUAAAGACGGAGAGAAAAGAAAGCAGAUGAGCCAGGAAGCUCCCACCUGCAGCGCUGAGCACCGGCAUUGGGGCUGUUACAAAAGGGGACGUGUGCCGAGGAGCAAAUCAAGAAGCCAGAGGCUGCUGACGAGCCCAGCCGGCCCCAGCCGUUCCUGCUCUCCCACGCCGGCCCGCAGCAGGGAAGGGAUGCGGACGAGGCACAUUCGGAGCGUUGCGACAGCCGGGGAUGGGCGCUGGGGGCAGGACUGGUGGAGCUGCUCCGGGGGUGUUAACUGGUGUCCUGCUGGAUGGCAACAAAAGAAAACACCCAAGCAGUGAUAAGUGACACGUCUCCCUCAAACGGAACUGAUUCUCUCUGUCAGCAGAUUUCCAAGGCAAACAUGAUCUAGCAAAGCUAAACACUCUGGAUUAAAGAAUGCUAAUUAGAGAAAAUACUGCAACUGAGAGAUACCAAAACAACAACAACAACAAAAAGAUGUUUUACACACUUUGAGAAAACCAUCCAAGGACACGAAGCUAAAAUCUAAGUGUUGCUCCCCGAAGUCAAUGCGUUUGCAAACAUGGCAGACAAUAAAUAUGGAUCUUCCACUCCUGCUUCAAAGACACCCAAAGACACCUCGUGCACCUCUCUGAGGUAGGUUUUUGUGUCCAUUUUACAGAUGGCAAAGGGUGAGGAUCAGCUCCUUGCCCAAGGCAUCUCACGGCUUCCCUGGGAAAGCUGGGAACACACCUCGGGAUUGACAGUCUCUUGGUCUCAUUCCUGGACAGGAUUUCAGCUCAAGUAGUUAUAACACAGUGUAAUCUUCAAGUUCCUUUGAACUGGCAGGUAUUUCUUUAGGUUUUUAAGCAUCAGCUUCUAGAGGGCUGGUUUUAAUGUUGCGUUUUGGGGUUUUUCUUUCCUUCUUUUCCUAAUGACAAGCUAAAAGCAGAGCGGGGUUUAACACUGGAAGCUAAAUGGUUUUCUACAGGAAACUUCCAACAGUGCUAUUUUAAUACUGAAUUAAAACCAAACCUGGUCCAUA